UACGGGGGGGGCAAGCGUUGUUCGGAAUUACUGGGCGUAAAGGGUCUGUAGGUGGCUUGCUAAGUCAGACGUGAAAUCCCUCGGCUUAACCGGGGAACUGCGUCUGAUACUGGCGAGCUUGAGUGCAGGAGAGGAACGCGGAAUUCCAGGUGUAGCGGUGAAAUGCGUAGAUACCUGGAGGAACACCGGUGGCGAAGGCGGCGUUCUGGACUGCAACUGACACUGAGAGACGAAAGCCAGGGGAGCAAACGGG
rnacentral:rRNA from 1 species